CCUACGGGCGGCUGCAGUGGGGAAUAUUGGACAAUGGGGGGAACCCUGAUCCAGCCAUGCCGCGUGUGUGAAGAAGGCCCUCGGGUUGUAAAGCACUUUCAGUGAGGAAGAACGCCUGGUGGUUAAUACCCAUCAGGAAAGACAUCACUCACAGAAGAAGCACCGGCUAACUCCGUGCCAGCAGCCGCGGUAAUACGGAGGGUGCGAGCGUUAAUUGGAAUUACUGGGCGUAAAGCGCGCGUAGGUGGCUUGAUAAGCCGGUUGUGAAAGCCCCGGGCUCAACCUGGGAACGGCAUCCGGAACUGUCAAGCUAGAGUGCAGGAGAGGAAGGUAGAAUUCCCGGUGUAGCGGUGAAAUGCGUAGAGAUCGGGAGGAAUACCAGUGGCGAAGGCGGCCUUCUGGACUGACACUGACACUGAGGUGCGAAAGCGUGGGUAGCAAACAGGAUUAGAUACCCCAGUAGUC
rnacentral:rRNA from 1 species